CGAACGAUUAAAGCUCUCUUCGGAGAGUGUAUAGAGUGGCGCGACGGGUGAGUAACACGUAAGUAAUCUACCUCGAGUGGGAAUAACAACCGGAAACGGUUGCUAAUACCGCAUAAUGCAGCGGCACCGCAAGGUGACAGUUGUUAAAGAUUUAUCGCUUGAGGAGGAGCUUGCGGCAGAUUAGCUAGUUGGUAGGGUAACGGCUUACCAAGGCUACGAUCUGUAACCGGUCUAAGAGGACGGUCGGUCACACUGACACUGAAUAACGGGUCAGACUCCUACGGGAGGCAGCAGUCGGGAAUUUUGGGCAAUGGGCGAAAGCCUGACCCAGCAACGCCGCGUGAAGGAUGAAGUAUUUCGGUAUGUAAACUUCGAAAGAAUAGGAAGAAUUAAUGACGGUACUAUUUAUAAGGUUCGGCUAACUACGUG
rnacentral:rRNA from 1 species